CCCCCGAUGGUCUAGUUGGAUAUGGCGUUCGGCUGUAAUAUCACGUGGUAACCCAGUUAUCAACAUUGUAACCGAAAGGUCGCCGGCUCGAUUCCGGCUCGGGGGA
rfam:Aspergillus versicolor CBS 583.65 unplaced genomic scaffold ASPVEscaffold_7, whole genome shotgun sequence.